rnacentral:rRNA from 1 species
UUCGGUGGCCAUGGCGGAGGGGAAACACCCGGUCCCAUCCCGAACCCGGAAGUUAAGCCCUCCAGCGCCGAUGGUACUGCCCGGGCGACCGGGUGGGAGAGUAGGUCGCUGCCGGAA